CAUAACCAUUAUAAAGUCCACCGUAGCUCUGUGGAUCAAAUCUCAUGUAGGGAUCCAUGGUGUGUGAUACAAUCAUGUUCACUCCAAAUCGUGCAAUCUUGUUUUGCUGGGAAUUCUUGCUAAUCAAGAUAUUGAGCUAUGGUAGAAGUUGUAAUGGUUAUCCAAGAGAUUUCUGGAGUUUCGGAUUGCUUCAAGAAUUAUAGAAGAAAAAUGUUAUGGCCAAGGAUCAGCUUCAGGAAAUUCAAGACCGAGUUAAACAGUUCCAGAACAGCAAUAUCUUCAGUCCAUUUAAUAAAAGACUGUAGCUUAAGAUUUGAUGGUUGUAAGUUCUGGUUUCAACAAUUUGUGUUGUCAUUGUCACCAUUGAAGAAUAGUGUUUCUUAUAUCUCAUUUAGCUACUUAUUGGUAGCUUGUAUUCUCAAUAUUUUGCUUUGCUUAAUACAAAAGAAAAUUG